CGGGAAAGAUUCAUCGGUAUGGGAUGGGGUCGCGUCCUAUCAGCUUGAUGGCGGGGUAACGGCCCACCAUGGCUUCGACGGGUAGCCGGCCUGAGAGGGCGACCGGCCACAUUGGGACUGAGAUACGGCCCAGACUCCUACGGGAGGCAGCAGUGGGGAAUAUUGCACAAUGGGCGCAAGCCUGAUGCAGCGACGCCGCGUGCGGGAUGACGGCCUUCGGGUUGUAAACCGCUUUUGACUGGGAGCAAGCCCUUCGGGGUGAGUGUACCUUUCGAAUAAGCACCGGCUAACUACGUGCCAGCAGCCGCGGUAAUACGUAGGGUGCAAGCGUUAUCCGGAAUUAUUGGGCGUAAAGGGCUCGUAGGCGGUUCGUCGCGUCCGGUGUGAAAGUCCAUCGCUUAACGG
rnacentral:rRNA from 1 species